GUGGUAGUGCUGGUGGUGAUGAUGCAGGUGGUUUUUGCCGGUGGUGGUGGUGCUGAAGGUGAUAGUGAUGGCAGUUAACAAUGGUGGCUACGAGGCUUGCAAUUUCUGUUGGUCUUUUAUUUUGUGUUGCAGGCUCAGCUCCAUCAUUAUCAUCAUCAUAAGGAGGAGGAUGAUGGAGGAGGAGAAAGAGGCGAAGAAGGAAGAAAAAAAAUGAGAAGACAACAACAAUGAUGAUGAGAACAACGGCUGGUAGGAUAAAGUUAUUCCACAGACCAGGAUACUUGCAACAGAAUGGAAAUGCACCCAAGGCUCAGAAACUGAUGUUGAACCAGGCACAAGACCAGAAAUUUGGAGGAUGGAAACAGUCAAUUAUAUCCACCCCAGAAACUAAAAGACAAAGAUGACCUCAGUAGGAUUUGAACUUAAUAUAAAGACCCGGAGCAAAUACUGAUUACAAAGCAUUUUGCCCAACUCAAACGAUUCUGCUAAUACAUCACCUUAAGCUUGCUUCUCAA